AGGCUGCAACUCGCCUACAUGAAGUCGGAAUGCAGUAAUCGCGGAUCAGCAUGCCGCGGUGAAUACGUUCCCGGGCCUUGUACACACCGCCCGUCACACCAUGAGAGCCGGUAACACCCGAAGUCAGUAGCCUAACCGCAAGGGGGGCGCUGCCGAAGGUGGGAUUGGUAAUUGGGGUGAAGUCGUAACAAGGUAUC
rnacentral:rRNA from 1 species